rnacentral:rRNA from 1 species
GACGAACGCUGGCGGCGUGCUUAACACAUGCAAGUCGAACGGAAAGGCCCUGCUUUUGUGGGGUGCUCGAGUGGCGAACGGGUGAGUAACACGUGAGUAACCUGCCCUUGACUUUGGGAUAACUUCAGGAAACUGGGGCUAAUACCGGAUAGGAGCUCCUGCUGCAUGGGGGGGGUUGGAAAGUUUCGGCGGUUGGGGAUGGACUCGCGGCUUAUCAGCUUGUUUGUGGGGUAGUGGCUUACCAAGGCUUUGACGGGUAGCCGGCCUGAGAGGGUGACCGGCCACAUUGGGCCUGAGAUACGGCCCAGACUCCUACGGGAGGCAGCAGUGGGGAAUAUUGCACAAUGGGCGGAAGCCUGAUGCAGCAACGCCGCGUGCGGGAUGACGGCCUUCGGGUUGUAAACCGCUUUCGCCUGUGACGAAGCGUGAGUGACGGUAAUGGGUAAAGAAGCACCGGCUAACUACGUG